rnacentral:rRNA from 1 species
GACGAACGCUGGCGGCGUGCUUAACACAUGCAAGUCGAGCGGUAAGGCCCUUCGGGUACACGAGCGGCGAACGGGUGAGUAACACGUGGGUGACCUGCCUCUAGCUCUGGGAUAAGCCUGGGAAACUGGGUCUAAUACCGGAUAUGACUCCACGGCGCAUGUUGUGGGGUGGAAAGCCUUGUGUGGCUAGAGAUGGGCCCGCGGCCUAUCAGCUUGUUGGUGGGGNGAUGGCCUACCAAGGCGACGACGGGUAGCCGGCCUGAGAGGGCGGACCGGCCACACUGGGACUGAGACACGGCCCAGACUCCUACGGGAGGCAGCAGUGGGGAAUCUUGCGCAAUGGGCGAAAGCCUGACGCAGCGACGCCGCGUGAGGGAUGACGGCCU